rnacentral:rRNA from 1 species
AACGAACGCUGGCGGCAUGCCUAACACAUGCAAGUCGAACGAGACCUUCGGGUCUAGUGGCGCACGGGUGCGUAACGCGUGGGAAUCUGCCCUUGGGUUCGGAAUAAUAGUUAGAAAUGACUGCUAAUACCGGAUGAUGACUUCGGUCCAAAGAUUUAUCGCCCAGGGAUGAGCCCGCGUAGGAUUAGCUUGUUGGUGAGGUAAAAGCUCACCAAGGCGACGAUCCUUAGCUGGUCUGAGAGGAUGAUCAGCCACACUGGGACUGAGACACGGCCCAGACUCCUACGGGAGGCAGCAGUGGGGAAUAUUGGACAAUGGGCGAAAGCCUGAUCCAGCAAUGCCGCGUGAGUGAUGAAGGCCUUAGGGUUGUAAAGCUCUUUUACCCGGGAUGAUAAUGACAGUACCGGGAGAAUAAGCCCCGGCUAACUCCGUGCCAGCCGCCGCAGUAAAAC